CUACGGGGCGCUCCAGUCGCGAAAACUUUACAAUGCACGAAAGUGUGAUAAGGGAAUCCCAAGUGCUUGUCCUCUGGGCAGGCUUUUUCUAAGUGUAAGGAACUUAGAGAAUAAGUGGUGGGCAAGACCGGUGCCAGCCGCCGCGGUAACACCGGCGCCACAAGUGGUGAUCACGAUUAUUGGGCCUAAAGCGUCCGUAGCCGGUUUGAUAACUCCUUUGUGAAAUCGCUGAACUUAAUUCAGGGGCGUGCGAAAGAAACUGUCAGACUAGAAACCGGGAAGAGACAAGAGAAUUCCUUGGGUAACGGUAAAAUGUUUUAAUCCAGGGAGGACUACCAAUGGCGAAGGCACUUGUCUAGAACGGGUUUGACGGUGAGGGACGAAGGCUAGGGGAGCGAACGGGAUUAGAUACCCUAGUAGUC
rnacentral:rRNA from 1 species